rnacentral:misc_RNA from 1 species
CGACUUCGGUGGUUGAACUACCUCCGUCCCGACGUCCGACGUGGCAACAUCACCCCGGAGGAACAACUGUUGAUUAUGGAACUCCAUGCAAAAUGGGGAAACAAGUGGUCGAAAAUAGCAAAGCAUCUCCCAGGAAGAACUGAUAAUGAAAUAAAGAACUACUGGAGGACGAGAAUUCAAAAGCACAUAAAGCAAUCACAUGUGUUCCACACUCCACAAACAAAUGUAUUAUUUUCUCAAGAUCAUCAAAUGAAUGAACAAGCUG